rnacentral:pre_miRNA from 1 species
AAUAGGUACAGUCAUAGAUAUGCGUCCUCAGCGUUUUGACCAUCCGUUUUAUUUAAAAAAUUUAUAAAAAAUAUUAAAAAAAAUAGUCUCACAUAAAGUACUAUUCAGGUUUUAUCAUCUAAUAAUAAUAAAAAUACUAAUCAUAAUCAUUUUUCAAAUAAGACGAACGGUCAAACGUUGGAUAUAAAUAGUGCUAAAAUUACA